ACGAACUCUGGUAUUGAUUGGUGCUUGCAUCAUGAUUUACAUUUGAGUGAGUGGCGAACUGGUGAGUAACACGUGGGAAACCUGCCCAGAAGCGGGGGAUAACACCUGGAAACAGAUGCUAAUACCGCAUAACAACUUGGACCGCAUGGUCCGAGCUUGAAAGAUGGCUUCGGCUAUCACUUUUGGAUGGUCCCGCGGCGUAUUAGCUAGAUGGUGGGGUAACGGCUCACCAUGGCAAUGAUACGUAGCCGACCUGAGAGGGUAAUCGGCCACAUUGGGACUGAGACACGGCCCAAACUCCUACGGGAGGCAGCAGUAGGGAAUCUUCCACAAUGGACGAAAGUCUGAUGGAGCAACGCCGCGUGAGUGAAGAAGGGUUUCGGCUCGUAAAACUCUGUUGUUAAAGAAGAACAUAUCUGAGAGUAACUGUUCAGGUAUUGACGGUAUUUAACCAGAAAGCCACGGCUAACUACGUGCCAGCAGCCGCGGUAAUACGUAGGUGGCAAGCGUUGUCCGGAUUUAUUGGGCGUAAAGCGAGCGCAGGCGGUUUUUUAAGUCUGAUGUGAAAGCCUUCGGCUCAACCGAAGAAGUGCAUCGGAAACUGGGAAACUUGAGUGCAGAAGAGGACAGUGGAACUCCAUGUGUAGCGGUGAAAUGCGUAGAUAUAUGGAAGAACACCAGUGGCGAAGGCGGCUGUCUGGUCUGUAACUGACGCUGAGGCUCGAAAGUAUGGGUAGCAAACAGGAUUAGAUACCCUGGUAGUCCAUACCGUAAACGAUGAAUGCUAAGUGUUGGAGGGUUUCCGCCCUUCAGUGCUGCAGCUAACGCAUUAAGCAUUCCGCCUGGGGAGUACGGCCGCAAGGCUGAAACUCAAAGGAAUUGACGGGGGCCCGCACAAGCGGUGGAGCAUGUGGUUUAAUUCGAAGCUACGCGAAGAACCUUACCAGGUCUUGACAUACUAUGCAAAUCUAAGAGAUUAGACGUUCCCUUCGGGGACAUGGAUACAGGUGGUGCAUGGUUGUCGUCAGCUCGUGUCGUGAGAUGUUGGGUUAAGUCCCGCAACGAGCGCAACCCUUAUUAUCAGUUGCCAGCAUUAAGUUGGGCACUCUGGUGAGACUGCCGGUGACAAACCGGAGGAAGGUGGGGAUGACGUCAAAUCAUCAUGCCCCUUAUGACCUGGGCUACACACGUGCUACAAUGGAUGGUACAACGAGUUGCGAACUCGCGAGAGUAAGCUAAUCUCUUAAAGCCAUUCUCAGUUCGGAUUGUAGGCUGCAACUCGCCUACAUGAAGUCGGAAUCGCUAGUAAUCGCGGAUCAGCAUGCCGCGGUGAAUACGUUCCCGGGCCUUGUACACACCGCCCGUCACACCAUGAGAGUUUGUAACACCCAAAGUCGGUGGGGUAACCUUUUAGGAACCAGCCG
rnacentral:rRNA from 1 species